rnacentral:pre_miRNA from 1 species
AAAACAUACGGACCGUCUACCGACCAAAAUCACUCGCUCGGUGGAAGAUCUUCCCUGUGUCGU